rnacentral:rRNA from 1 species
GACGAACGCUGGCGGCGUGCUUAACACAUGCAAGUCGAACGAUGUAGCCGGAGCUUGCUCUGGUGAAUUAGUGGCGAACGGGUGAGUAACACGUGAGUAACCUGCCCUUGACUCUGGGAUAACUGCUAGAAAUGGUAGCUAAUACCGGAUACGACCCUCGGAGGCAUCUCCAGGGGGUGGAAAGAAUUUCGGUCAAGGAUGGACUCGCGGCCUAUCAGCUAGUUGGUGAGGUAACGGCUCACCAAGGCGACGACGGGUAGCCGGCCUGAGAGGGUGACCGGCCACACUGGGACUGAGACAGGGCCCAGACUCCUACGGGAGGCAGCAGUGGGGAAUAUUGCACAAUGGGCGCAAGCCUGAUGCAGCAACGCCGCGUGAGGGAUGACGGCCUUCGGGUUGUAAACCUCUUUUAGUAGGGAAGAAGCGAAAGUGACGGUACCUGCAGAAAAAGCACCGGCUAACUACGUGCCAGCAGCCGCCGUAA